rnacentral:rRNA from 1 species
GACGAAGGGUGCAAGCGUUACUCGGAAUUACUGGGCGUAAAGCGUGCGUAGGUGGUUUGUUAAGUCUGAUGUGAAAGCCCUGGGCUCAACCUGGGAAUUGCAUUGGAUACUGGCAGGCUAGAGUGCGGUAGAGGAUGGCGGAAUUCCCGGUGUAGCAGUGAAAUGCGUAGAGAUCGGGAGGAACAUCUGUGGCGAAGGCGGCCAUCUGGACAGUUCCUGACGCUGAGGCACGAAGGUCAGGGGAGCAAACGGG